GUAUUGUAUUGCGUUAAACGCGGCAUACAUUCCAUGAGACUUUAUUACGGCGCAUGUGUAAAGAUAUAGAACCACAGCCACAGGAGAACAGAGCCCCCCAAGGCCACAGAACUACAGAGGGUGCACAGGUGUGAGUGGAUGUGCAAACAGAGCGUGCACAUGCCCCAGUUUGAGGGCCAGCAACAACUCAUGUUGGCAAUUCGGUAAUGAUCCUUCCGCAGGUUCACCUACGGAAA
rnacentral:misc_RNA from 1 species